UCUUUCCUUUUUGCCAUCUGCGAUUCAUAAUAUCCCAUACCAUAGCGAAACAAGUUGGAAACCUGUGGUGCCCAUAGCAGAAAGCAAUCCUAAAAGAGAAAACAAUGGAGUGAGGUGCCCUAUUUCAUACUAGGCAAUCUGUAUCCAGAAAAUGCAGUAGUUCAUGAAACAGAAUGUCAUUAUGGACAACAGUAUCGUACACAUCACUAAAAUGUGUUCCUGGAAAGCCUUGCCUGGUUGCUUCCUUCCAGAGCUUCAAGGGGAAGUCCCCAGGGCUGACAUGCAAAGCUAAUGUGCCCAUGAAAACAGGAACAACCCGACGAGGCCGUGGUAUUUUCACUGAAAAAGUGUUAAGUCCUUUCAUCCUCUGUGAAAAGGGAAAAAAAUCUGGUCGCCAUGCAGACAGGCAGUGUUCUACAGAAGUUCAGAGGACUCUGUUGUAUUACGUGGCUGCUGCUGUGCCUUCUUGCUCAGUACGAAAAUGGUGGAAAGGUCCUGGCUUUAUCUUCAUCAGCCAAACCCUACAAAAGUAAAGGGCAAAUUAAAUAAGAUUUGAGAACUGGGGUGGUGAGGGUGGUAAUGGACCGGGUGACUGCUAAUGGGCAACAGAGUUAAAUUUGUAACCUUGGAUGCAAACAGGUGGGAAAAUAGCUCGCUUUGUAGACUGCUUGUAGCGCAAUCAGGUGAGAGCUAUUUUCUCAUGAUCAGAUGAUGUACAGGAAAUCGCAAAUCAGCUUGAUGUGAUCCAUGCCCAAACUGGACCUUUUUGGUUCAUCAGCAGGGCUACUCUUUUUUUGAAGAGGCAGGGGGAACAAGGCUGGAGUAAAACCUGCACAAAUUGAAGGGUCACUUUAAGAGAGAUUGUUCCUGCAAGGUGACCCUUUCCAGCAUGAUCAAAUAUUGUCCUUUAUCACCACCUGAUCACACCUUUUCUCUAAUUAGUCUGGUUAAAAUUAAUAUCAAUAUGGGGGAAAAAUCCCCCCCCAUAAAAUUUCUUUUUAGACAUUUCCUUUGUGGGGGGAAGAGGGCUUUUUUUAAGUGCCGAAGGAACUAUUCAUAACCUAUGUUGCCAAUAAUUUGUGUACAACCAAAAAGGUACAACCUAUUCAGAAAGAGAAACAGAAACUAGAUGAAGGCUCCUUUUUGCAUUUACAAUAUUAUAAAUUAUAUCAAAGCUCCUUUCUUCAUUUUCCCCCUUGGGAGGAAAAGAUCUGUAUGUCAAUGACAACA
rnacentral:lncRNA from 1 species